rnacentral:lncRNA from 1 species
UGGAGGAGAUUUAGGAGAUUUAAAAUUUUAUGAAAAGUUUAAACCAAAAUAUGAUACUUAUUCCCAAAAUUUUACAAAAAAAUAAUCAAAAAGUUACUUUUUAAAAAAAAUAUUUCAAAUGUUAAGGAAGCAGAUUAAAGUUACAGAAUACGGAGUAGUUAUGCAACAAGUACGGGCCCGAUUAAAGUGACCGACCACACGGGUAUAACGACGGCCCUCGAGUCUCCACGUAGUCUUUAGCCUUGCUAUCUGCAUCAAUAGAGAAGAGAAAGAAGAUGAAGAUGAAGAUGAAGAUGAAGAGAAGAGAAAGAAGAUGAAUAGGAUAUAAUGGUCUGCAUCAAUAGAGAAGAGAAAGAAGAUGAAGAGAAGAGAAAGAAGAUGAAGAGGAUAUAAUGGUCAUUUCUUGUUUGUUGUCAACGGAUGUAACUGGGGAGCUUCUAAAUGCAAACCAAAGUGGUUUUUUGCUUCUGAAGAAAGGGACUUUUUUUUUUCUUUCGUAAAUCCAAGUCCUAAACAUAGAAAAUUAUUGCCCGUAGCUAGUCUUCACAAGUUCGAUUUUGUUUACUAACUUAACAGUUGAUAAAUAAGAAUGACACUUAAUAGUGAUUGACCCAAAUAAUAAGACAUAUUAUGGGUUUCAGAAUGAUUCUGGCCAUUUUUUUGGCCAAUCACAAUUAAGGGCGAUGUCUACAUCACAAGUUUUGUUCGAGCUCUCCAUUGAUCAUUAAUUGAUACUUAAUUAUAUUUUUUAGGGGGGAAUUCAUAUUUAAUUGUUGGCAAACUAUCAUAUAAAAGAAACAAUAAUGUUACUAACAUCAACGCUUAUACACACAAAUAUACAAACUCCUUCACUGCUUCACAUGAGUUGUAUAAGCCAAUCACAUUAAAAAAAUUAUGUAAAUAGAGAAUAAAAAUAGCUCCCUUAAUUUGGCCAGAGGGGCAGAGAGACAUUAUUGCGUCCCGAUUUUUGGAGGAGAUUUAAAUAUUUUUAUGAAAAAGUUUAAACCAAAAUAUGAUAAUAUUCCCAAAAUUUAAUAUAAUCAAAAGUUACUUUUUAAAAAAAUAUUUCAAAUGUAGUAAGCAGAUUAAAGUUACAGAAUACGGAGUUAUGCAACAAAAGUUACGGCCGAUUAAAGUUUACCGACCACACGGGUAUAACGACGCCCUCGAGUCUCCAAGUAGUCUUUAGCCUUGCUAUCUGCAUCAAUAGAGAAGAGAAAGAAGAUGAAGAUGAAGAUGAAGAGAAGAGAAAGAAGAUGAAUAGGAUAUAAUGGUCUGCAUCAAUUUAGAGAAGAGAAAGAAGAUUGUAACGAAAGAGAAAGAAGAUGAAGAGGAUAUAAUGCGUAUUUCUGUGUGUUGUAACGGAGUAACUGGGGAGCUUCUAAAUGCAAACCAAAGUGGUUUUUUGCACACUCCACUUUUUGAGUAUGCUCCAAUUUCAUUUUAAAUUUAUAAAUGCAUCUCAGUAUAAACUAUUUUAAUACAAAAAUAUCAUACAAAUCACUCAUUUUAAAAUAUCAAAAUUAACUCAAUACAAUCUAAAAUUAUAAAAUUCUAUUCUUCAAAAACAAAUUUUAUUUUUCUGUAAACCUUUAUAUCGGGACCAUCACAGCACCACCUACCAUUGCAGUCACAUAGUGGAUGCAACUACAUGGGUAUUUGCAUUGAGUUGGACUCUCUCAUAACUACGAGAGUUGGGAGUGAGUUCUGAAAUUAUUUACAUUGAUGAGUAUGAAUAAAUAUUUUUUGUUAACACUUAAAGUUAAGAUCUAAUAAUCUUAAAUGGUUAGAUUAUCUAACUUUUUUUUUUCUCAUCAAAUUCUUAAUUUAAAUAUAACCUUAAAAAAUCCACAAAAAGCUCCUAAUAUUUUAAAACUAUCAGUUACAUUAAAAUAUUAAAUUUGAUAUAUAUCCUAUAAAAUUCUUUAUUAUUAGUUGAUGAUACCAUUUGUAUGCUUGCAAUAAAUUUUUAGUUGACGAUACGAGGGACCCACAAAACAAUAAGCCAAUUUGGGCUUAGCUUUUUUUAACUAAUAAGUUAGCAGUUUUGAUUUUUGAGUUAUCCAUCUUCUGUUUAUUUUUUUAAAAAAUAUAUAGUUUCUCUUGGCGAGAAGAACGUGAAAAUGUAAAAAAAUUGUUCAACUUAAAAAAAAAACAAAAAAUUAGCUUACCUAUUGAAUAAAAAUAAUUUUUUGUUUUUAUUAGAUUUGUUUUCAAAUUUAAUAAAAUCUUACAUUUUCAGAGUACCUCUCAUAAAGAGGAACCGGACAAGUAUAAUUUUUUUUAUAGAACGGUAACUUUUUUUUACUAAUGACGAAAAGACUUAAAAAUCAAAGUAGCGCCACAUCUUUAUCACAAAUGAAAUCAAUAUUUUUAAAAUUUAACAAAAUAAAUCAUAAAAUUUUAACUUUUAGCAAUUUGAACCAUAUGACAUCUUAUGUUUUAUGUAGUAAUGACAUUAAGUGAUUUUUGUCAAAACAAUUUAGGGAAGCAACAUUCCACGAAUUGACAGACUAUUUAAAAAUCCCAAUUUAUACAGUUAGGACAUAUAUCUAAACGAUAACAAGAGAGAUAAAUUGAAUGAUUAAAAAGUUGAAUUUUGAGUAGAAAUUAGGUGAACUCAGACUUGUAAAUGGGGCUUUAGUUUUUGUGGCAUCGUUUUCUUAAUUAUUUUGUUGGGAAUCAUUUAGUGUAAUCAAGUUAAAUAAAUGAAGACUAAUGGAUGAUUCAAAUUGUGAUGUUUAAAAAAUAGAUUUUAAUUUGUUAAAAUUAAAAAUUCAAAACUUAAUUUGUUACCAAAGUCAAACUUGGACUUCUCUUAUAACUUUUCCUAAAAGCAAAACAAUAAAAGAAAUAAAAAUCUUAAUAAGCCUACUAUUUUGUUUUUAUUUUCGAGUUUUUUUGGUCUGUAGUGAAUUUCUUUUACUAUUAGAUCAAAUAUUUAUACUUUUUUGGAUAUUCUCGAUGAGAAGAGUUCAAAAGUGUAAAAUUUUAAAUCGAAUUUGAAAAAUUCGGUAAAAACAAAAAAAAACUUUUUUAGGUGGCAUUUUGGGGAUAAAAUGGUCUUUAGUGAACUUUUAUUUUUUUAUUUGAUCAAAAUUUUAUAUAUUUGAAAAGAAUUUUGUAAAGAAUUUUACUAAAGACAAAAAAAUUUUUUUUUUUUUAUAAAAGUACUUUUUCUUAUUUAAUAAUUUUUUCAAAUUAAAUAAAAAAAUUUAUUUUUAAACUUAUCUCAGAAACAAACAAAAAAAAUAAUUUAAUAAUAUUUUUUUAUUAAAUACGAAAAAACUCAAUAAUCGAAACAUACCAAAAAAAAAUUAACCUAAAACCAUCUCCAACAAACCCCCCCAAACCCCCCCUUUUCUUCAUUUUUUCAUGUUCAAUGGGUUCCCCAUUUUUUUUUCCAUUUCUUCAUUCCCCCAUUCCCCACCCCCUCCCAUCAAAUUUGGUGACAAAAAUGAGAAGAAAAUUUCAUCUCCAAUGGCACCCCCAUUUCUCCAUUCCUCCAUUUUUUUCCUAAAUUUGAAAAAAAAAAGGAGAAUAAUUGGGAGAGUACUUUUUGGUGAUUGUGUUGGGGCCCAUGACCCCGGAGAGAAACAAGAUUUAAUAAGAAUAAAAUUAAAUAUUUAUUUGGUAAAAUUGCUAGAUUUUCUCUUUUAUUUAAUGUUUUGACGAUUUAUUUAUUAAUUAUUAUAUAUAAUUAAGUUUAUUAUUUAUUUCCUUUUAUUCUUAUUAAUAUUUUAUGUAUAAUAAUAAUAGUAUCGGGUCGGUCAUAAAUUAUUUUGUAGUCGUUUGAGAUUAUUUGUUUUUCAGAUUUUUGUUUAAGAGUACAAUGUUUUAUAUAAAUCUUGUUUUAUGUAAUAUUAUAAGUUAAUUAUGUUUUAUGCUACAUUUUUUUAAAAAAAUAAUUAUUUAUUAUUUUUAACAUCAAAUAUAAAUAGUUUUCUUGAAAUUCAUUUUAUUAAUUAUAAUUUUAAAAAUAAAUACUCAUUCCAAAGAAAUGUGAAAAUGGAGAAAUAGAGAAAUGGGGAAUGAAAAAUUGGAGAAUACUAUUGGAGACCAACACCAUUUUUUUCUACAAAUUCAAAAAAUAGAAAAAUAGAGAAAUAGGAGAAUACCAUUGGAGACUAGAAUGGAAAAAAAAUAAAAGAAUGGGGAAAAUUAUUGGAGACCAACUCUAUUUGUCCUCCAAAUUGAACCGGCAACUUUUUUAUCGAACCGGCUGAUUUUUUUUUUUAACGAUUGAACCGGCCGUGGGUUUCCGCUGGGUUUUUAACAGAAAAAAUUAAAGUUUUAAUUUUAAGUUUGACCCCAAAAUUUUGAAUAAUUGAAGUUUUAAUUUUUAUAGUUUGACCCCAAAAAUUUGGAAUGAAAAGUUGUAAUUUUUUAAUAGUUUUUACUAUAAUAAUUUUUUACUAUGAAUUGGUACAAAAAAAUAUUUUUUUUAUUAUUUAUAAUAAAAUAUAAUUUUAUUAUUUAUUAAUUAUAAAUCCGGUUGAACCGUGGUUAAACCAGUGAACCGUUGAACCAGUGCUUUGACUGGUUCAAUGUCCGGUUCGGUUCUGAUAACUAUGGGGCUAACCAUUGGAGACCAAACUAUUUUUACCCCAUUUUUUCACCUAAAAAUGGAAGAAUGAGAGAAAAAAUGGGAGAAAAAUAUUAUUGUGAUUGGAGAUGGUCUAAAAAAGCCUACAUAUUAAAACUAAAACGAGAAAAGAAAUAAAAAUAAAAAUCAUAGUUAGUUGAUUGAAGGAAACUCCGAAGCUUCUAAUAGGACAAAUUAAUAUUUUUUUUAUGGGUCGUGCUAACGUGCGGUCAAUAAGGAGUAUAAAAUGAUUUGAAAGUUUAAGUUUUGAUACACUUUUUAUAUUUUUUAAUAUAUUUUUAUAUAUUUUUAUACACUUUUUAUACAUUUUUAUACAUUUUUCACUAUCAACCGCCCUAAGGGCUGUCAAUAGCAUUUCCCUUUUUAAUAUUUCUUUUCUUGUGACGACAAAGAAGAGCAGAGAGGAACGAGAAGAGAAGACCAGAGACAACUCGAGAGUCGAGAAUAUUACUCUCUCUCUCUCUCUCUUCUCCUCUCCAUUGGUCAGAGCAAUCCACGGACAGAGAGAGAGAGUGAUGUUCGGCGCGUAUGGCCGUGUCAUUAUCGCUCGCCGGCGUCAUCUUUUUCCUCUGCUUCGUCGAGAUCUCCGAACCUCGAACCAUUCUGAGGUCUCAUUGCUUUUUCCAUUCACGAUUUCACAUCUCUCUUCUCUCUCUCUAGACGAUCCUCAAAUUUCUGUUUAUGUUUAACCGAAUGCAGGUCGGAUGCAACAAAACAUGCGUCGCAGAGAACUGCAAUUGUAAAAAUCUCUCUCUUCCAAUUAGCUUUUCUCUUCAUGAUUGUAUUUUUUUUAAUAUAUUUUUGUAUUUUUUGGUUUUUGGAAUUUGUAAUAGCUGCUGGAAUAAGGUAUGGAAAGUACUGCGGAGUAGGGUGGACACCGUGGACUGGAUGUCCCGGAGAGAAGCCCUGCGAUCAGGGACGGAGCAGGAAAUUUCAAUUGGUGGGGGUGGGGGGAGCAAGUCGGGUGGAAAUGUUUAAGGAAAAAAAGUCCAAAAUAUAUAUGCAUAACACUGUAAAUACAUUUGAAUUAAAAAAAGUACAAAAUAGCCAUCACUCCAUACAUUAGUAAAAUGUUUUUCUCAAAAGAUAAUAGAAUUACAAAAAUAAUAGCUUCUUACCUCGGCCUAUCUAUCAAAUUUAGGCAUCUUUAAUUGGCACUCGACGCUCUUUCAUGUCAUUAAAAUUCUCGAUAAUAGAAUCAAUAUCAAACAUCUUAGCUAGGGCUCUCCAUCGGCCCGGCCCGGCCCAAACUCGAAUAGUAAAAAUCCGAGUCCGGUCCAGUUCAAAGUCCGCGGACUUUUGACUUUGACCGGGCCGGGCCGGGCCUAGGGAGGUAUCUUGAACCCCAAGCCCGGCCCUUGAGGGUUUCGGGGUUUUUGGGGUUUCGGACUUUUCGAGUUUCGAACUUUUCGCGCCCAAAUGAGCCUAAAUGACUUCUUUAAAUUUGUUUAAAAGUUUACGCUAUAUAGUUUUAAAAUUUAUAUUUUAAAGUAUACAUUGAUACAUUAUAAUUUAAAGUGGAUCACGUGUGAGAAAUUAAAAAAUUAAUUUGAUUAAUAAAAUUUAUCAACUACAUCUUUAGUAGAGGAUUGCAUCACUACCAAUUUGUGCAUCCCCAACUAGGUUGGCACCCACAAUGUGUCAAUCAUUUGCUCUCUACCCAAGUUACAUGAAUAUAAAAUUUUAAAAUUACAAAUAAAAAAUUUGUAAGACUAUCUAUCUUCAUCACUAAUAGUAUUCGGCAUCAAUCCAGUUGGCUUCGAUAAUUCAGUUCUUGCAUUUGUUCUUCAAGUUCGGCAAUGCGGGCCUUUUCCGGGCUGGGGGAUUCGGGCAAUUCGGGCAUUUUGUGGGCGGGCUCCGCGGCGUUUUUCGGGACAGGACUUUCUGGCUUUUCGGGUCGCGAGACUUUCGGAUUUCGAGCUCGGACUUCGAGCCGGCUUCGGGCUUCAAACCCUUAAGCCCGGGCCCAGCCCAGUUGGCUUAGGCCCGGCCAGGCGGGCCAUUUUUUGGGCUUCAGGCUUCGGGCGAGCUCCGGCGGCUUCGGGACUCGGCCAUUGAAGAGCCCCCUACUCUUGCAUAUCUGUCUCUAUGUAAGUGUCGAGGAAGGAAUGAAAUUGUAAAAAUUCAUCCUCCAUCCGAUAGCGGAGUAGUUUAGUCUUCACACAUUUCAUAGAUGAAAGGAAAUUCCGUUUUCUUGUGUGUAGCAAAUUGACAUGAGUAAAAUUAUAUGCGUUGAUGAAUCAAACCUGUCGAUCAAAGGAUAUAUCAAGGGCUUCUUGUUUUCCAACACUUCACUCAACUUAGAAAUUGUUUGACCAAAAUUUUAAAAUUUUUGGAUGCUUGCUUAGAAACGUCAAGUAUAUAAUUUUUCAACUAAAAUUGAAAUGUUGCUUUUCUUACUAGUGAAAAUCCAUAUAGGAUAUACUUCUCUACAAGCUUGCAUGUAUCUUCAAUUUGAAUGAUUUAUAACCAAUCAGAAGAUCUAAAGGGUAUGAGAACGAGCAAUUUCUAUUGUUAACUCUUAUUUAACCGUUUUGUUCCAAUUCAAUAAUUGAGAAUCGAUGGGACAUGUUGUAAAAACUAACCCGAAAAUGAUGAUCAAUACUGAUUUUAUUUUUUCGAACACGCCCCCGAGAUGUUGUAUACCUACCUCCCCCCCCCCUCCCUCCUCCUCAACAACCCCACUCACCCCCCCCCCCGCUGGUGCUUUCUUCUCUCCGACCGUACUCCCCUCUCUCUUCCACCUCCACUCCGAAGAAUCGACUCUGUAACCCACUCUUUCCCCCCCCCCUCAACGGAAAACUUAUCUAAUUUUUCACAAAAUACGAUAACUUUCUUUAGAGAGAAUCCAACCAUUUCUCUAAAAUUCUGAAUUUUGUUAUUUUUUAUUGUAGUCACCAGAUGCAAAUUGCAUUAAUAUGCUUCUUGGAAUUUGGUGUUGUGUGCAAAGGCUUGAUUUUCAAUUAUAAUUUUUUUAUGGUACACACAAUGUGUACUAUAGAUUUUCUCUUCUCGAUUGGUUAUACCACGAUUUGGGACAGAUGUUACCCCUUAAAAGAGUAAGCACCGUACUUACUCCUUAAAACGACAUAAUUUUGAUUAAAAUUUCUUAAAACUUAAUUAAAAUUUGAAAACUCUUAUACAUGGUCACAAUUGUAAAUGGAUAACAAUUGUAUAAUAUAGCAAUUUGGCCAAAAUAUAAGACUUUUUUUGUUAAAAGUUUUUCAAAUUAAUUUUAAUUUUUUAAAUAUAAAACACGCAUUGCUUUUAUAUUUUAUUCAUUUUGAAUGGAAAUAACUUUUUAAAAAUUAAAAAUAUGUAUGUAGUUUUGUAAAAAUUCUAAAACACAAACACAAAUUCUCACAAUUUUUUUAAAAAUAGCAUACAUUUUUGCAAAAAUAUUUAAAACAUGUUUUUGAAUUCUCAAAACUUAGUUUCACUCAAAACAAAUUAAAUAUAAAAGCGAUGUGUGUUUUAUAUUAAAAAAAUUAAAAUCAAAACUUUAAAAUUAUUUUUUAAAUUUUAUAACAAAAAAAGGUCUUAUAUUUUGACAAAAACUUUUAUUUUAUCUGUAUACAAUUAUAAACCAUAUAUAAAAGAAAUUUUACAACAUUUUGAUCAAAAUUACGUCCUUUUAGGGAUAAACACGAUUUUUAGGUGCAUCACCUACCCAACCCGUCUAUUUUAUGGUCAAAGCUGUCUAGGGGAUGGCAACAACGGGGCGGGGCGGGGCCGGAGGGUUGGUGUCCACGUCCCCGAUCCCCGAAAUUUUUUUAACAGCCCGACUCCCCGCCCCGAUCAACGGCGGGGGAUUGUGUUAUUAUAACCCCGAUCCCGGCCCCGAACGGGGACGGGGGAUUCCCCGCCCCGAAUCCGAUCCCCGAUUGAAAACACUUAAAAACAACAUACAAAACCAACCCCCUUCCUAAAUCAACCACAAAUCCUAAGCAAAAAAUUUGAAAAUCAACACAAUACUAACUCAACAUAACAACCCAAAAAUUAAAACUCCAAAAUCAAAGAUAGACAAUUUGAAAUCCAAAAUCAAAAUUAAAACUCAAAAUCAACCAUAAAUCAAUCACAAUUUUAGGGUUAAUUCACUUUGCACCCAGUCACUUUGAUUAAUAUUAUUUCGUACUCUAUUUUAUUUUAAUAUUUUUCGGGGUAAAUUUCGGGGAUCGGGGGACGGGGAGUUAGACAAUUUACGUCCCCGCCCCUCCCCCGAAUUUUUUUUUUUUUUAAUCCACGAUCCCCGCCCCGAUCCCGAAAAAAAAAUACCCGAAACUUCACCCCAGUCGGGGCGGGGAUAGGGGGGCAGGGCGGGGCGAGGGUUCGGGGGCGGGUGGGAAAUUUGCCAUCCCUAAAGCUGUUGUCUUCAUCUACUGUAUGUCUACGUUCACUUAUGUAAGCGUUGUCUAGUAGUUGAUAUUUUUACCAGAACUGCUAAUGUUACCGGAAUUUAUUACCUGAUAGCACCAAAAACGAUGACGUUUUGUGCAAAAAAAUCAAAAUGACGUCGUUCAACUAAAAUGUAUUCUACCGAAAGAAGUAGUAAACCCAUUUUAGCUACCCAAACGUCAUCGUUUGGUCUAUCGGUAAUAUAAAUUCGGUAUUAUUAAAAUUUCCCCUAUGAACGUAGGCAUUGUGUUUUUCUACAACAGCAAUGACUAGUUCACGAAAAGUUUACCGAAUUGUUACCGAUAGCCACCAAAACGACGACGGUUUUAGGUACUAAAAUGGGCUUUUAGUUUCUUCUGGUAAGAAUCCAUUUAUUGUGGUUGAACGACGUCGUUUGAUUUUUUUGCACCAAAACGCCGUUCUUUGGUGGCUCUCCGGUAACAAAAUUCGGUUUAAUUUUAAACUUUCGGGUAAACACGUAGCAUUUAUAUUUCUACAAGGGGCGCUGCAUUUAAGGUUUUAAUUUCUAAUCAAUUUUCCUUUUUUUAUUUUACAAAAAAAAAAAAACGAAAAUUUGUUACUAAUUUUUGUCUUCAAGACUUUAUUUAUUUUUCUCGAAACUGGCUUGCUUAUACGAGUCACAUUUAAUUUUUAUAUUUUUAAAAUUUAAAUGCAUAAAAAAUGAAAAUUAUUUGGGUUUCUUCUUAGGACCCAACUUUUCUGUUGUGCAAUUUGGAUUGCACUAGAUUAUAGAGGUAUAAUUCAAGUAUUUUUGGGUUCAUUUUGGAUAAUCAAAAAUCGUUUAUAAUUUGGUAGAUAUUAAGAGGAGUUAGUACCUGUAAAGAUUCAACAUUGAAUCGGAUAUAAAUGAUAGAGAUCAAUAUCAAUUUAUUUAUUAAAUGGUUAUAAUCUGUAUGCUAUAUUCAUUUAUUAAGUUAUAGAACAAUAUUAACGGAUAUUAAUCUACUUUGUAUUCGAUCAAUGUGAUUUUUUUAAUAU